UACGGAGGAUGCAAGCGUUAUCCGGAAUUAUUGGGCGUAAAGCGUCCGCAGGUGGCGAUUCAAGUCUGCGGUCAAAGACUGGGGCUUAACCCUGGAAAGGCCGUGGAAACUGAAUAGCUAGAGUGCAGUAGGGGUAGAGGGAAUUCCCGGUGUAGCGGUGAAAUGCGUAGAGCUCGGGAAGAACAUCGGUGGCGAAAGCGCUCUGCUGGACUGCAACUGACACUCAGGGACGAAAGCUAGGGGAGCGAAUGGG
rnacentral:rRNA from 1 species